rnacentral:rRNA from 1 species
CCUACGGGAGGCAGCAGUGGGGAAUAUUGGGCAAUGGAGGAAACUCUGACCCAGCGACGCCGCGUGCGGGAUGAAGGCCUUCGGGUUGUAAACCGCUUUCAGUAGGGAAGAAGCGAAAGUGACGGUACCUACAGAAGAAGCACCGGCUAACUAUGUGCCAGCAGCCGCGGUAAUACAUAGGGUGCAAGCGUUGUCCGGAAUUAUUGGGCGUAAAGAGCUCGUAGGUGGUUCGUCACGUCGGAUGUGAAAAUCUGGGGCUCAACCCCAGACCUGCAUUCGAUACGGGCGAUCUAGAGUGUGGUAGGGGAGACUGGAAUUCCUGGUGUAGCGGUGGAAUGCGCAGAUAUCAGGAGGAACACCAAUGGCGAAGGCAGGUCUCUGGGCCAUUACUGACACUGAGGAGCGAAAGCGUGGGGAGCGAACAGGAUUAGAUACCCUGGUAGUCCACGCCGUAAACGGUGGGCACUAGUUGUGGGAACCUUCCACGGUUUCUGCGACGCAGCUACGCAUAGUGCCCGCCGUCGGGAGGUACGAGUCGCGAGAGUAAACGUAACGUAAAGUAAGUAGUUAGNGUGAGAGUGCGAGGCGACGACGAGGGAGGAGG